rnacentral:rRNA from 1 species
GACGAACGCUGGCGGCGUGCUUAACACAUGCAAGUCGAACGGAAAGGCCCUGCUUUUGUGGGGUGCUCGAGUGGCGAACGGGUGAGUAACACGUGAGUAACCUGCCCUUGACUUUGGGAUAACUUCAGGAAACUGGGGCUAAUACCGGAUAGGAGCUCCUGCUGCAUGGUGGGGGUUGGAAAGUUUCGGCGGUUGGGGAUGGACUCGCGGCUUAUCAGCUUGUUGGUGGGGUAGUGGCGUACCAAGGCUUUGACGGGUAGCCGGCCUGAGAGGGUGACCGGGCACAUUGGGACUGAGAGACGGCCCAGACGCGUACGGGAGGCAGCAGUGGGGAAUAUUGCACAAUGGGCGGAAGCCUGAUGCAGCAACGCCGCGUGCGGGAUGACGGCCUUCGGGUUGUAAACCGCUUUCGACUGUGACGAAGCGUGAGUGACGGUAAUGGGUAAAGAAGCACCGGCUAACUACGUG